GAUGAACGCUGGCGGCGUGCCUAAUACAUGCAAGUCGAGCGAACGGACGAGAAGCUUGCUUCUCUGAUGUUAGCGGCGGACGGGUGAGUAACACGUGGAUAACCUACCUAUAAGACUGGGAUAACUUCGGGAAACCGGAGCUAAUACCGGAUAAUAUUUUGAACCGCAUGGUUCAAAAGUGAAAGACGGUCUUGCUGUCACUUAUAGAUGGAUCCGCGCUGCAUUAGCUAGUUGGUAAGGUAACGGCUUACCAAGGCAACGAUGCAUAGCCGACCUGAGAGGGUGAUCGGCCACACUGGAACUGAGACACGGUCCAGACUCCUACGGGAGGCAGCAGUAGGGAAUCUUCCGCAAUGGGCGAAAGCCUGACGGAGCAACGCCGCGUGAGUGAUGAAGGUCUUCGGAUCGUAAAACUCUGUUAUUAGGGAAGAACAUAUGUGUAAGUAACUGUGCACAUCUUGACGGUACCUAAUCAGAAAGCCACGGCUAACUACGUGCCAGCAGCCGCGGUAAUACGUAGGUGGCAAGCGUUAUCCGGAAUUAUUGGGCGUAAAGCGCGCGUAGGCGGUUUUUUAAGUCUGAUGUGAAAGCCCACGGCUCAACCGUGGAGGGUCAUUGGAAACUGGAAAACUUGAGUGCAGAAGAGGAAAGUGGAAUUCCAUGUGUAGCGGUGAAAUGCGCAGAGAUAUGGAGGAACACCAGUGGCGAAGGCGACUUUCUGGUCUGUAACUGACGCUGAUGUGCGAAAGCGUGGGGAUCAAACAGGAUUAGAUACCCUGGUAGUCCACGCCGUAAACGAUGAGUGCUAAGUGUUAGGGGGUUUCCGCCCCUUAGUGCUGCAGCUAACGCAUUAAGCACUCCGCCUGGGGAGUACGACCGCAAGGUUGAAACUCAAAGGAAUUGACGGGGACCCGCACAAGCGGUGGAGCAUGUGGUUUAAUUCGAAGCAACGCGAAGAACCUUACCAAAUCUUGACAUCCUUUGACAACUCUAGAGAUAGAGCUUUCCCCUUCGGGGGACAAAGUGACAGGUGGUGCAUGGUUGUCGUCAGCUCGUGUCGUGAGAUGUUGGGUUAAGUCCCGCAACGAGCGCAACCCUUAAGCUUAGUCGCCAUCAUUAAGUUGGGCACUCUAAGUUGACUGCCGGUGACAAACCGGAGGAAGGUGGGGAUGACGUCAAAUCAUCAUGCCCCUUAUGAUUUGGGCUACACACGUGCUACAAUGGACAAUACAAAGGGCAGCGAAACCGUGAGGUCAAGCAAAUCCCAUAAAGUUGUUCUCAGUUCGGAUUGUAGUCUGCAACUCGACUACAUGAAGCUGGAAUCGCUAGUAAUCGUAGAUCAGCAUGCUACGGUGAAUACGUUCCCGGGUCU
rnacentral:rRNA from 1 species